rnacentral:rRNA from 1 species
CCUACGGGAGGCAGCAGUGAGGAAUAUUGGUCAAUGGACGAGAGUCUGAACCAGCCAAGUCGCGUGAAGGAUGACUGCCCUAUGGGUUGUAAACUUCUUUUGUAUGGGAGUAAAAUUUUCCGCGUGUAGGCUUUUGUAUGUACCCUAUGAAUAAGAAUCGGCUAACUCCGUGCCAGCAGCCGCGGUAAUCCGGAGGGUCCGAGCGUUAUCCGGAUUUAUUGGGUUUAAAGGGAGCGUAGGUGGAUUGUUAAGUCAGGUGUGAAAGUUUGCGGCUCAACCGUAAAAGUGCAGUUGAAACUGGCAGGCUUGAGUACAGUAGAGGUGGGUGGAAUUCGUGGUGUAGCGGUGAAAUGCGUAGAGAUCACGAAGAAUGCCGAUGGCGAAGGCAGUUCACUGGACUGCAACUGACACUGAGGCGCGAAAGUGUGGGUAGCAAACAGGAUUAGAUACCCGUGUAGUC